CAUGAAAGGCCGCACUGCCGAUGAAGACCGCGGUGAUGUUAACGAUGAAGAUUGGGAUUGGAAUCAGUGGCGUCAGCAUUUCGAUGAGGUUGAUGACCAGGAACGUAUUGUCAUCAUCCUCAAGUCUCAGUUACGGCAUGCUGUAUACGUGGAGGAUUAUGAAGAAGCUUCUAGGCUUCAGGUGGCGAUUGCAGCUGCAUCUAACAAUGACAGUGUUGGAAAAGUGAUAUCUCUUCUCAAAAGAGCCAUAAAAGAAGAGCGGUACCAUGAUGCAGCUUUUUUAAGAGAUAAAGCUGGUGCUGGACUUGUGAGUUCUUAUGGAAUUUAUUUAAUGGCAACUUGCAUGAAUGUCUUUGAAUUGUGGUGGAAUUAGAAUGUCAGAUGCAAUGUCAUAGGGCGGCCCCAGUAAUACAUAUUGGUGCUGAAAUUGCUAUUACCCGGGUUGAUAAUUUGUUUUUGACAUCAAGACAACACUUUCCUCACCACUUCACUUAUGAAACCAAUAACUAAAUUGAGCUACACCAAAAUCAGUUCUUGAGCUUAUGGAUGUAAAGGAUCUAACUCUAUCACAUGUUAAAUCUCAUUUGCAGGUAUAAUUAUCUUCAACUCCUUCAUUGCAAUAGAUCACUAAACAUAGUUUAGUUAUAAUUAUAAUUACAUUAUUAUGAUGUUGUUAAUAUGUUGAGUAGUGUUGUGAGGUUGCGUCACAGAAAAACUUUUAGGAUUUUGGUCGGUAUAGAUGUUGCGAAGUUGCGAUACCGUAGUUUUUGCUGUUGCAGACGGUUU